rnacentral:rRNA from 1 species
AAGAAGCGAAACCGCGAGGUGGAGCAAAACUAUAAAAGACGAUCUCAGUUCGGACUGCAGGCUGCAACUCGCCUGCACGAAGUUGGAAUUGCUAGUAAUCGUGGAUCAGCAUGCCACGGUGAAUACGUUCCAGGUCUUGUACACACCGCCCGUCACACCAUGGGAGCCGGUAAUACCCGAAGUCAGUAAUCUAACCGCAAGGAGGACGCUGCCGAAGGUAGGAUUGGCGACUGGGGUGAAGUCGUAACAAGGUAAC